GGGGCUAUAGCUCAGCUGGGAGAGCGCUUGCAUGGCAUGCAAGAGGUCGACGGUUCGAUCCCGUCUAGCCCCACCA
rnacentral:tRNA from 1 species